rnacentral:rRNA from 1 species
AGUGAACGCUGGCGGCAUGCCUAACACAUGCAAGUCGAGCGACAACAUAAUAAGCGCGCGCUCCUGAGGGUGGCGAGUGACGGAUGAGUGACGCAUACAUAGGAAUCUACUAUUACGUGGGGGAUUACGUAGGGCCACUUACGCUAAUACCUCAUAUGUUGUACGGGUGAAAGCAAUAGAUCUUCACGCCUUUCGCGAUUGUAUUAGCCGAUGCCGCAUUAGCUAGUUGGCUAGGUAAAGGCACACCAAGGCGACGAUGCGUAGCCGAUCUGAGAGGGUGAUCGGCCACACUGGAACUGAGACACGGUCCAGACUCCUACGGGAGGCAGCAGUAGGGAAUCUUCCGCAAUGGGCGAAAGCCUGACGGAGCAACGCCGCGUGAGUGAUGAAGGUCUUCGGGUUGUAAAACUCUGUUAUUAGGGAAGAAAAACUGUGUAAGUAACUAUGGACGUCUUGACGGUACCUAAUGAGAAAGCCACGGCUAACUACGUG